AUGCAGCAUCAAAACAUGAGAAGGAAUAAAUCUUUGCAGAAAGAUGGUUCCUUCCCUUUCCCCUUUCCUUUACAGAACGAUACACAUUUUAAACUUAUACUACUGACUGCGAGACAGAUCACGGGUGAUAAAAAACCACGGACAGGAGAGAGCUACCUAUCGCCGCCGCGGCAGCGCGCGGACAAAAUGCGGAUUCUUGAUGAUGGUUCAGUCGGCGGCGUUGGGCAUCGGCGAGUCGAGGCCCUCCAUGCGGCUGCGCACAAUGCGGUGGAACACCUCCCGGACCUGCCUUUCCAGCGGCUCCAGGCCGUCCUUCAUGGCGCUGCACACAGCGGCGAGCUCUGCGGCGGCCUCCCGCACCGCGGCCUCCCUCUCUCCGGCGAGCGGGAUGGGCGCCGCGUCGAUCGCCUCGGCGAGCCUCUGCGCGCACUUCUCGAGCGCGUGGAUUUCCUUGAGGAGGCGAGGAAGGAGGCGACGCCGCCCCCGCCCCCGGCGGCGGCCGCGUCGUCGACGAGGAGGAUCGAGAGGUCGGACAGCGCCUUCCUGGCGCGGCGGAGCUGGCCCUCGUGGAUCUCCACGGGGGCGAGCAGCACGGACGCCGCGAUGCCGGCGAGCCGCCCCCAGCGCCGGACCUGGUCAACACCGUCGCGAGCGGCGUUGCACACGUCAAGCGCCUUCACCGCGCGCUCGUGGUACUCCCCCACCAGCCUCUCCGCCAGCGCGCCUCCACCGCCGCGGCGCCGCGCUUCGGCCACCACCGCCCGAAACUCCUCCUGGCACAGCAGAAACGCCUCCAGGAGCCGCCGGAUCCACGCGACGGAGAGGAAAUCCUCCCCGUCCCUCAGCUCCGCGAGGCUGACGGCCACGUGGCGCUGGAACGCCUCGACCUCGGCCUCCCCGCCGGACGGAAGCAUGGCGGGGGACGCCGGGCUGUCCCGGCUUCGAGACAGCAGCGAGCGGCCGAAGGAGGCGAACGGGGAGUGGGAGGAGGAGGAGGAGCCCUGGUAG
rnacentral:rRNA from 1 species